UAUUUGUGCGUAAUAUUGCAGUCUGACCAUCCUUUGAAGCUAAUGGAUUGGUCCUAAUUAGGUAUUUAAAGUUCUCAGAAUGCCGCCCUAUUCAAAGUUGAAGAAAAGCUAGUACGUGUGCCCCUGGUUCAAGUGUUGGGUUUUCUUUCUGUUUUUUUGUGACGCAGUCUGAAUCCUGAAAGUAUGGAACGGCCGGGCGAUCGUUCAGCAGACUCCAGAUCUGACUAUUCAGACAGAUGCAUCUUUGAACGGAUGGGGAGCCUGCCUCGACCAUCAACGAGCCGGGGCUCGCUGGACAUGUCAAGAAAAGACCAACCACAUCAAUUAUCUCGAGCUGUUGGCGGUCUUCCAUGCGCUCAGAACGCUGUUGAGGGAGCGUCGAGAUUUGCAUGUGCGACUUCAGAUGGACAACUCCAAGGCCAUCUCUUACAUCAACCACAAGGGUGGAACGCGCUCAAUGAAUCUUGCUCAACUGGCACUCAAGAUUUGGUUACGGUGUCUCCGGAACGGUUUCAUUCUGACGGCAGAACACUUACCAGGCUCAAUGUAUAUCACAGCGGACAAUCCCCGUGUUUUCAACGACCGGGCAGAAAUGAAACUAAACACACUAAUAUUUCGCUGAAUUCGCAGUAAAGUUUUUCCCCAGACGUCGACCUGUUUGCAACUUGACUCAAUAACCAACUCGAGACCGUCGUAUCACGGCAGCCCAACUCCAUGGCAUGGAUAAUUGAUGUUCUAUUACUGAACUGGAAGGAGAUAGAGGGUUACGCUUUUCCUCCCUUUGCUUUUCACCCAAGUGUUUGAAUAAGAUCAGCGAGAAGGCCACAAUUUUACUUAUCACCCCAGUCUUGCGAAUCAAUGUUCUUAGUCGCAUGGAAGCUAUCAGGGAAAAUCUCUCUUCAGAGGACAUUUCGCAGUUAUGUCAUCUUACAGGAAGCAGUCCAAAAAACAGUAGGCCCUAUGAUUCAGCUUGGAAUCGAUGGGCCUGUUGGUGUCUUUGGAGGCAAGCUGAUACUGUUCGAGCCCUUGUGGCGAGGAAGGCAUUGAUAGGCCUACUUCAUGUUUCAAAGCUCAUUCAACCAGGGGUGGACCCACCUCAGCAGCUGCAAGAGUGACAGCUCAAGACAUCAUAAAAACGGCAGACUGGUCAUCUGUGACUACUUUUGCCAACUUAUACCGCAGAAGCUUAUCGCAACCAUGAGUUUGGCCAAGCAGUUCUGGCGUCGGCACAUUAACGGCCAGCUUUGAAGUAUACAGGGUGAGUCUCUCUGGAAGUGGCGAAAUAUAAUUCCCCAAUUACGUAAAGCACUUACCUGCAAAAAAAAUGGAAUUAUGA